rnacentral:rRNA from 1 species
CCCUUAGAUGUCCUGGGCCGCACGCGCGCUACACUGACAUGUUCAACAAGCCUCCUAGUUCGACAGGAUUUGGGAAAUCUUUGAACGCAUGUCGUGAUAGGGAUAGAUCAUUGCAAUUAUUGAUCUUGAACGAGGAAUUCCUAGUAAACGCGAGUCAUCAGCUCGCAUUGAUUACGUCCCUGCCCUUUGUACACACCGCCCGUCGCACCUACCGAUUGAAUGUUUCGGUGAAGAUUCCGGAUAGGACUUUUUUGAUUUAUUUCAAUUUUGUCUGAAAAGCUAUCUAAACCUCAACAUUUAGAGGAAGGUGAAGUCGUAACA